UUUUGUGUAAUCUAUCACACACCUGGUUUUGAGAACAACAGAAGUAUCAGAAUUUAGAUCCACAAACUUUCUCAGCGUUACAGAUAUAGACAAAUAUAUAGUCACUAAAGAUCAGUUCUCAUGAACGUUGCCAAAUUAUCUGAAAAAUAUUUAUGUACAACAACUGAUCAGUAAAGAUUAAAAUAAAGGAAAUUUGAGGGUAACAAUGCAUUCAUACAUGAAUUUAACUGAUAUUGUGG
rnacentral:lncRNA from 1 species